UAAACUUGUAUAUUUUAAGAAUACCUAGUCUCUUCCCUUACUUUACCCUUCCCUGUCUGGAUGUUCCUAAUGGAUGUUGUACAUAAAUGUAGUAGUGACACCCUUUCAAGCAUAUAGAAGUUGUCACAUGUGGCACCCAACAAAAGAAUUUGAAUUUUCUUCCCUGGUUGAACAUCCUUAUCAGUGAUCUACAACAUCUUUUUCCCCAAGACUGAUGUUUUGUUUGUGUGUGUGUGUAUGUGUGUGUGUGUGUGUCUGUCUGUCUGUCUGUCUGUCUGCCUGUGUGCAUGCCUGCCUGACUUUGUCUCUUUCUGUCUGUUUCUUACACAUGAUACCUCUCCAUAGUUCAGUUUGACUUCUUACUUGUUCAUUCCAAGGUUGAACCAUCAUGUGUUCUCUGAGUGUUUGCUUUUGCUCUCUCAAAUUGCACCUGCAUUAACCAAUGCAUCUGUAGCCAUACCUGUGAACAGCGGGUCACAUCACAAAUAGCCACAUUGCUAAAAUAUUUUAUUUUUAAGGCUCUGAGCAAAGUUUUUAUCUGAAUUUACGUAAUUUUCCCUUACAUUUCAUUCCCCCACCCAAACUGUACUACUCUGGAUCUUCCCCAUGUCUUUGCUUACUUGUGUUUAUCUAUUUAUCUGGUCUACUAUGAAGGCAUCAUCCCAACCCUCCAUAAUUACUUAUUAGGAGCAAUGGAUGAGGAAAUUGGAGAAACUGAUCAUUUAGUUACAGAAGAUGUACCCUUAGAGGGAUUAACUGUGUGGAAUCAUGGCUUCAUUGACAGUCAUCCUGACCUAAGUUUUCAACUUCCUUUCUUCCUUAUCAUUUUGAGUGUGCUACCUAAGGUGGGAAAGAACCAUUUCGGGGCUUUGUGUGAAAAUUGAGUAUUUAAUAUCCACACAUGAAGGUGGGAAAGAAUUCAAUAAAUCAGUGACAUCUCUGUCUUUAGAAGGGAGACUGAUUAAAAGUCUUCCCUUGUGUCUUAGAUGAAGCUCCUGGAAAGGGCAGCUUGGCUUUUUGAUUUGAAGAAGAUAUAGUUAAUGGGUUGUUAUGUGCUCUUGAAGGGAACCCUCCUCUGGAUACAUUAUUGUAUGCUGGAAUUACCAUGGUAUUCUCUGUGAUGUCACUAAUGUUAUGGAAACAGAAGCUGCCCUCGUGCAUUUAGUUAGUAUUUAUUGGUUUACCCAGAGACAUGUUUUUCAGGAUGAUCAAGCUAUUUACAAAGAAAACAGAGAGCAUUGAGCACAAGAGAGAGAAGAAGACGAAAUUAGGACAUUUUUCUUGUUAUAAAAGUGAAAAAAUUAAACGAUCAGGUGUAAACCAGAGAGAGUAAGCUCUGGACUGGUGCUCAGGAGCUUCCUGGAGAAGUUGGGCUUGGGUCACGCCUUCUAGGAUUAGGACUAAUGAUCUGAAACCUCUGGAUUCUUAAAGAAGCGACCCAGAGUCAAGAAUAUCUGAUGAAUGUUUGGCAGACAGCCAGCAAUUGACAACCAUGCAGUGGGUCUGUUAUGAGUUCCUAAGUUUCACUCUCAGUGAGAAAGAAAGCCAAUAGGAGCCACAGGGAUAAAAACUUUGACUCUCAGGGAAGAGUAUUGGACUUAAUCUUCAGAGGCCUCCUGUACAUGUCAUUGACAUGUUAUGACAAGAACAGAGAGUGUGAUACUCCCCUGGAUAUGUUUAAAGAUAUCAGAAUCAUUUGUUUUGAACAUACAUGAUUAGGGCUUGGUGAUCCAAAGCACUAUGGAGUCCAGGGUUUACCUGUAUAUAUCUAACAAUCAUGGCUGGGAGCAGGAGAGUAGCUAAUAGAUCUUGAAGAGAGCUUUCCUCACCUUUCAGUGCUUCAAAGUAUCUGUAGAUUUCCCCUUUCCUCAUGCUUCUUUUUGGGGACACAGCAUGUUUUAUCCUAUGACUGGGCUGUUGUUCUUGUGGUUCCCUUGUGUUUUACUACAGGGUCUGCUAGAAAGGCAACAUCCCAACCUCCUAUCAUCAAUGAGCAAGCAGAGCAGAUUAAGAAGUUGGAGAAACCUGACUAUUGAGCUCCAGAAGAAGACCUAUUUUCUGUUGACUGGGCUCAUAGCUUGAUACUUGAAAUCUGGUAGACUACGCAAAGUGGAUCUGCUUUUGGAGGAAUUUGCUUACCUUGGAGGAGUUGGAAACAGUGAACAAGGAUUGAUCCACCACCUAAUCCCUUGCUGAGAACAAAGUCUACUCUUCACAGCCUGGUAACUUGCUUCUGUGGCCAGACAUGAAGGCUCUGAAGCACAGUUGCAUCCUGUUGAUCUGUGAAUUAGCUGAUAGUGGCUAUCAACUUGGUCACAUGAAGCAUAUGAGAGGUUUGACAAGACAGUAUCAGGCCAUUUGUGACACUGCCCAUCCAAUGGAAACAUGGAAGUUUUGAGAAUCACAGAGUGGGAGUCUCAUGUCUGAACUUUGACACCCAGGGUCUGCUAGAAAGGCAACAUCCCAACCUCCUAUCAUCAAUGAGCAAGCAGAGCAGAUUAAGAAGUUGGAGAAACCUGACUAUUGAGCUCCAGAAGAAGACCUAUUUUCUGUUGACUGGGCUCAUAGCUUGAUACUUGAAAUCUGGUAGACUACGCAAAGUGGAUCUGCUUUUGGAGGAAUUUGCUUACCUUGGAGGAGUUGGAAACAGUGAACAAGGAUUGAUCCACCACCUAAUCCCUUGCUGAGAACAAAGUCUACUCUUCACAGCCUGGUAACUUGCUUCUGUGGCCAGACAUGAAGGCUCUGAAGCACAGUUGCAUCCUGUUGAUCUGUGAAUUAGCUGAUAGUGGCUAUCAACUUGGUCACAUGAAGCAUAUGAGAGGUUUGACAAGACAGUAUCAGGCCAUUUGUGACACUGCCCAUCCAAUGGAAACAUGGAAGUUUUGAGAAUCACAGAGUGGGAGUCUCAUGUCUGAACUUUGACACCCAGGGUCUGCUAGAAAGGCAACAUCCCAACCUCCUAUCAUCAAUGAGCAAGCAGAGCAGAUUAAGAAGUUGGAGAAACCUGACUAUUGAGCUCCAGAAGAAGACCUAUUUUCUGUUGACUGGGCUCAUAGCUUGAUACUUGAAAUCUGGUAGACUACGCAAAGUGGAUCUGCUUUUGGAGGAAUUUGCUUACCUUGGAGGAGUUGGAAACAGUGAACAAGGAUUGAUCCACCACCUAAUCCCUUGCUGAGAACAAAGUCUACUCUUCACAGCCUGGUAACUUGCUUCUGUGGCCAGACAUGAAGGCUCUGAAGCACAGUUGCAUCCUGUUGAUCUGUGAAUUAGCUGAUAGUGGCUAUCAACUUGGUCACAUGAAGCAUAUGAGAGGUUUGACAAGACAGUAUCAGGCCAUUUGUGACACUGCCCAUCCAAUGGAAACAUGGAAGUUUUGAGAAUCACAGAGUGGGAGUCUCAUGUCUGAACUUUGACACCCAGGGUCUGCUAGAAAGGCAACAUCCCAACCUCCUAUCAUCAAUGAGCAAGCAGAGCAGAUUAAGAAGUUGGAGAAACCUGACUAUUGAGCUCCAGAAGAAGACCUAUUUUCUGUUGACUGGGCUCAUAGCUUGAUACUUGAAAUCUGGUAGACUACGCAAAGUGGAUCUGCUUUUGGAGGAAUUUGCUUACCUUGGAGGAGUUGGAAACAGUGAACAAGGAUUGAUCCACCACCUAAUCCCUUGCUGAGAACAAAGUCUACUCUUCACAGCCUGGUAACUUGCUUCUGUGGCCAGACAUGAAGGCUCUGAAGCACAGUUGCAUCCUGUUGAUCUGUGAAUUAGCUGAUAGUGGCUAUCAACUUGGUCACAUGAAGCAUAUGAGAGGUUUGACAAGACAGUAUCAGGCCAUUUGUGACACUGCCCAUCCAAUGGAAACAUGGAAGUUUUGAGAAUCACAGAGUGGGAGUCUCAUGUCUGAACUUUGACACCCAGGGUCUGCUAGAAAGGCAACAUCCCAACCUCCUAUCAUCAAUGAGCAAGCAGAGCAGAUUAAGAAGUUGGAGAAACCUGACUAUUGAGCUCCAGAAGAAGACCUAUUUUCUGUUGACUGGGCUCAUAGCUUGAUACUUGAAAUCUGGUAGACUACGCAAAGUGGAUCUGCUUUUGGAGGAAUUUGCUUACCUUGGAGGAGUUGGAAACAGUGAACAAGGAUUGAUCCACCACCUAAUCCCUUGCUGAGAACAAAGUCUACUCUUCACAGCCUGGUAACUUGCUUCUGUGGCCAGACAUGAAGGCUCUGAAGCACAGUUGCAUCCUGUUGAUCUGUGAAUUAGCUGAUAGUGGCUAUCAACUUGGUCACAUGAAGCAUAUGAGAGGUUUGACAAGACAGUAUCAGGCCAUUUGUGACACUGCCCAUCCAAUGGAAACAUGGAAGUUUUGAGAAUCACAGAGUGGGAGUCUCAUGUCUGAACUUUGACACCCAGGGUCUGCUAGAAAGGCAACAUCCCAACCUCCUAUCAUCAAUGAGCAAGCAGAGCAGAUUAAGAAGUUGGAGAAACCUGACUAUUGAGCUCCAGAAGAAGACCUAUUUUCUGUUGACUGGGCUCAUAGCUUGAUACUUGAAAUCUGGUAGACUACGCAAAGUGGAUCUGCUUUUGGAGGAAUUUGCUUACCUUGGAGGAGUUGGAAACAGUGAACAAGGAUUGAUCCACCACCUAAUCCCUUGCUGAGAACAAAGUCUACUCUUCACAGCCUGGUAACUUGCUUCUGUGGCCAGACAUGAAGGCUCUGAAGCACAGUUGCAUCCUGUUGAUCUGUGAAUUAGCUGAUAGUGGCUAUCAACUUGGUCACAUGAAGCAUAUGAGAGGUUUGACAAGACAGUAUCAGGCCAUUUGUGACACUGCCCAUCCAAUGGAAACAUGGAAGUUUUGAGAAUCACAGAGUGGGAGUCUCAUGUCUGAACUUUGACACCCAGGGUCUGCUAGAAAGGCAACAUCCCAACCUCCUAUCAUCAAUGAGCAAGCAGAGCAGAUUAAGAAGUUGGAGAAACCUGACUAUUGAGCUCCAGAAGAAGACCUAUUUUCUGUUGACUGGGCUCAUAGCUUGAUACUUGAAAUCUGGUAGACUACGCAAAGUGGAUCUGCUUUUGGAGGAAUUUGCUUACCUUGGAGGAGUUGGAAACAGUGAACAAGGAUUGAUCCACCACCUAAUCCCUUGCUGAGAACAAAGUCUACUCUUCACAGCCUGGUAACUUGCUUCUGUGGCCAGACAUGAAGGCUCUGAAGCACAGUUGCAUCCUGUUGAUCUGUGAAUUAGCUGAUAGUGGCUAUCAACUUGGUCACAUGAAGCAUAUGAGAGGUUUGACAAGACAGUAUCAGGCCAUUUGUGACACUGCCCAUCCAAUGGAAACAUGGAAGUUUUGAGAAUCACAGAGUGGAGUCUCAUGUCUGAACUUUGACACCCAGGGGCUGCCAGCAUCAGGAGAAAGGUAACAUGGGGCUUUAAUAAACAUGCAUCAUUUAAUAA